GACACCCAAAGAGACUCAGUGACUCGUCCAAGGUCGCACUGGCAGUGAACAGUGGAGUCGGCGAUGGCAUCCCCCUAACGAGCAGCCCCUCCAGCCAGUCUCUGUAAAGACAGCUGACACUGCAGCUCGAGGGAGCACUGUGUGUGCCCACCUUGCCCUGCAGCAGUCUGGCUGCUGUAUGCUGCAUCACUGAAAAGUGUGCGUUGUCCUAAACGAUUGCCUACUUCUCGAGUUCAGAUCACAUCUCUCCUUGUCACUCCCAUCCGAUUUUCUGGUCUUCUUCCCCAUUGCAAAAGCAAAGUCAGGAUGACACAUCAGCAGGCAACAGAAGGGCAGCACUAUGGAGAAUGUUGUGCGAGGACUCAUUCCUCAUCCACUCUCAGCCAUGUAGUUGUGAGCGGCCCUGAUUAGUCUCAGCAAACCAACUUCUUCCAUCCCUUGGCCACUGGGCUUGGUGCUGGUUACUGAGAGUCAGGACUGAGACCUUUAUUCGGCUCUCAGAAAGGAGACCCUGGACAUGAAGCACAUGAAGUACGGAGCUGCCCAAACCCCCUUAUAACCACGAUGGGAGAGCUUAUCUGGGAAUAUGGCCAACGUUCAGAGGAGAGGGGAGCCAUGUGGAGAGAGGACCAGGUCCUGGUCAUAUUAUUUUUCCUCCUAUUGCUACUUCUGAACAGCUGCAUCUGAACUCGAACACAGCAUGUGCUGGGAUCAGUAGCCAUCUUGGACCCAAUGAUGAGGUCAACCCCCUAGAAGAAACAGAGCAACUAGCAGGAAGGAGCCCAGGACUGGAUGACUUCCUGCAGCAGAGCCACAGGACCUGGCUCUGUGUACAUGUGAAAGAGAAAUACAUUUCAAUCUCAUUAAAGUCACUAUCUACUUAAGAGUCUUUGUUUUAGUAAC